UUCACUUAAAAAUUGUGCUGUAUGUUAUCCAUUUAUAUAGUGAAACUACAAGUGAAAUUGCAAUAAAUAGUAAUUAUAUGAUUUCGUUGAGCUGACAUAGCCUAACAAGAAUUGGACUAUAUCUUAAUCACUUGAAAAAGUUGAUCAAAAUGCAAGAGUUAUACAAGUUUUUAAUGUAAUUGAACAAGAUCCUACUCAUGUCAUUUUUUAGGAUAUGUUUCUUGGUUGAAGCUCUUAUCUUAUAUGACAAAUAAGAUAAGAGCCUCAGGUAUGUCAUAACUGAUACAAGGAAGAGGGUAUAUCGAUUGACUGUCCAUUGCCUAACAUCUAUAGGACAUUAACUGAUCAAGAUUGCCCACAAAUUAAUAUUGAUGAAGUACAUAACAAGAUUAAUAGAUAUAAAGCAGUUAUGAGAAAAAUAUACAUCAAAAAAUUUGAAUUGCUACUUAAAAAAUAAGUGCGAAAAAUACACGUAGAAAGUCUUCUUCUGAAUAGUGUUCUAACAACAAUAGGAAAUGUUCAACUUCCGAACUACGUAUAGGACUUAUUCACAAGAGAUCCCACUACUAUGGUCCUCUUUAAGAUAGAACACCCAAAGAUGAAGUGCAGUCAUAGAAAACUUAAUCAUGAGAUUAGACUCAGAAAAUAGAGAUCGUGAAAGAUGGAAAUAUAUCAUGGCCCAUAGAAGAUAUUGACAAUCAUGAAAAUAUGAGGAACAAUGGAGAAUGUGAUUCAAACUAGUAACAACAAGACAGCAAUUAAAAAGCAAUAACCUCAAAUGUACAAAAGAUGACAAGUUGAACAAAUUUGUUAUUCUUCCUAAUGAUACACGACACAAUUUUAUGGGACUAUGUAAAGACAUCUGAUGUAGAUCUUUUAUCCGCAGACCCAGUUCAUAGCUAAUACCAUACAAAAACUGAUGCAUAGGCUUGAUUCCUUGAAACAUGGAAAGUCAAAUUAUCACAUAAUCCCUCAUGUCCACCAUUAUAUGGACUUGUUAAGACUCAAACAACCAGUAAUCAAUGGUUGAUAAAUCACAUUCACCACUUACUCCCUUGGAGAAGAAACUAACAUAGUGUUUAAUGAAAAUGACAGACUACAUGUGCACAGUGAACUCUUCAAAAUUCCUGCAAUGUUUAACUUCUCAUAAUCUACAAGAAACAGAUACAUUUAUUGUCGCAGAUUAUUCAGAACUUCUUCCCAUCCAUAAGUUUAGCCCCAGCAUGCCUAUUUUAUACAGAUUUUUGUUUUGAGAAUUCACAGAGGAUGGCAGUCACAUCUUGUCUUUUAACAGACUUCUGCCACUUAAUAGCAUUUAAUUCAGUUUAUCUAUAUAAAGAGUCUUAUUUCAAACAAAAUGUAGGAGUCCCAAUAGCUGGUUCAAUGAUAGGUAACAUGGCUGAACUAGUUAUUAAGGGUAAGGAACAAACUGUCCUAUCCAUUGUAAACAUACAUACAUCUCAUGCUAAGGUACAUGGAUGAUGUAUUUGUCAUCUCUGAUAAAAUUACAUUUACACCAAAUAUGUUGUCUUCCUUUAUAGAUCACUCCUUGGGUUUACAUCUUAAAAUUGAGCAAUAGUCCAAGCAUAACAUAGAUGCAGAUAUUGUAAUAAAAGACAGAACAUUUUAUAUAUCAGCCUAUAGAAAAGAUAUUU
rnacentral:lncRNA from 1 species